CACGCAUGAUCCUAUAAUUGUGAGGAACUUAACACAGGACCUUCAAAUGAGGACCAUCAUUUCUGUUUGGGAACAAACAGACACCUCAUUCCAGCACCAAGUGGUCCCACAAACACACAGUUUCUGGAUCACAGGUUCUAGAACAGCUUCUAUCCCAGUUCGAUCUGCCUGUUAAAUCAGUUUCUGGACCAAAGGUUGUAGAACAGCUUCCAUCCCAGUUCUAUCUGCCUGUUAAAUCAGUUUCUGGACCACAGGUUCUAGAACAGUUUCUAUCCCAGUUCUAUCUGCCUGUUAAAUCAUCCACCUAAACUGUUUUCAUCAGACUAUUAGAACAUGACUGAACCUUUUGGUUCCUUUUCUGAUCUUUUACCACUUUGCAUUUUAAUGAUAUAUUUUACUGUUUGUGUUUGUACCACAGGAGGUUGGUGGGACCUUAAUUGGGGAGGACAGGUUUAUAAUGGCUGGAGGGGAAUAAGUGGAAUGGUAUCAAACACGUGGUUUCCAUGUGUUCCAUUUCAUUCACUCUGUUCCAGACAUUAUUAUGAGCCGUCCUCCCCUCAGCAGCCUCCUCUGGUAUGUACUGUCCUAUAUGUGAGAGCUCCAACAAGGAAUUACAAUGUAUGUAUUACUUUUAAUACCUGCAAAUGGCAAAUAAACGACUUGAACUCCUUAUGAAUGUCUGCAGCUGACUUGGCUGUUGGCGUCUGACAAGAGGUGAAAAUAUUACAGGAAUAUUCUGCAAAUGUUGAUGAAGACGUCACUCAAUACACCCAAAACAACAUGCAGUCUUUCCACAAGACUCCCAUGAAGUUAUAGUGUGACGUUAUGAGUUGACGUUAAAGUAACAUUCUCAGAACAUACUGCACUUGUUUUAUACUGUUUUAGAUGGAUCCUCUGUUUAAACAUUUAAACUCUUACAAUAACAACGUUAAAAUACCAAUGUGAUCAUUUGUUGUAUGUCUUUUAUGUUGAAUAACAAAUUGUACAAUUUUAUAUGGACAUAUGCUGCAUAGUUAUACAAGUAUACAAGGAUAUAUUGUACUUUUCAUAAUAAAACAUACUUGAAACAAGAAAAA